AUGGCCGGGAUGCGCGCCGUGAGGUUGCUUUUGUCGUCCCUCCUCUUCGCCCUCAUGAUCGCCGCGGCGAGGGACAGUGUUAGCAACCAUGGUGAUGAUGAUGGAGCCACCUUACUCGCUUUCAAGGCGGGUAUCACGAGCGGCAGAAGCUCCGGCCCACUCAGCUCAUGGAACAGCAGCACCAGCUUCUGCAGCUGGGAGGGCGUGACCUGUGGCGGCAGCAGCGGCAGGGUGGUGGCUCUGGACCUGUCCUCCCGUGGGCUCGCCGGGACGCUCCUGGCGGCCAUUGGGAACCUCACGUCGUUGCAGACGCUCAACCUGAGCUUCAACUGGUUCCAUGGGAGCAUCCCGGCGAGCCUCGGCCACCUCCGCCGACUCCACACGCUUGACCUGAGCGAUAACUCACUCUCCGGCAUGCUGCCUGACAACAUGAGCCUCUGCACCGGCAUGACGGCCCUGGUCCUCGGCAGCAACAAGCUCGGUGGCCUCAUCCCGUCCAGCCUGGGCGAUACACUGACCAACCUGAAGAAGCUCUCGCUGACGAACAACAGCUUCACGGGCGCCGUCCCGGCGUCGCUGGCCAACCUGUCGUCCCUGCAACACCUCGAUCUCUCCAUCAACCGGCUCGACGGCUCGAUCCCACCAGGACUUGGAGGCCUCGGUAGCAUCUCUCUCCUUGAUCUCUCUGCAAACGGAUUCUCCGGUACGCUCCCAAGCUCUCUCUACAACCUGUCAUUGCUGACGAGCCUUCAGGUUGAGGGGAACGCGCUGCAAGGAAGCAUCCCUGCCGACAUCGGCGACAGGCUCCCGGCCAUGGAAAAGCUUGUCCUGUCCCGGAACAGAUUCAGCGGCGCCAUCCCUCAUUCAGUCACCAACCUCUCCUCUCUCGCGACGCUUCGCCUCGGGUGGAACCAGUUUAGCGGCUACGUGCCUCGCACGCUGGGGAGGUCGCAGGAUCUGCGGUACCUGGAGCUGGCUGGCAACAGGCUUGAAGCAGACAACAGCAGGGGAUGGGAGUUCAUGGAUUCACUUGCAAACUGCACCCAGCUACAGUAUCUGGCCCUCGACAACAACUCCUUCAGAGGGCAGCUGCCAGGUUCAGUCGUAAACCUCUCAACAAGCCUCCAGAAGCUUUUCAUAGGCUACAACAACAUCUCAGGGGAAAUCCCUUCAGACAUCUCCAAUUUGGCAGGCCUGAAGGUGCUGCAGGUAGCAAAUACUUCCGUGUCAGGAGUUAUUCCAAAGAGCAUCGGGAAGCUAGCAAACCUUGUCAUGUUCUUCAUGUUCAACAAUGCCUUGUCAGGCCUCGUGCCAACAUCUGUCGGGAAUCUCACCAAGUUGAACUGGAUACUCGCGUACAAUAAUAACCUGCAAGGACCAAUCCCAGCGAGCCUAGGGAGACUCAAGGACCUCAACAUUCUGGAUAUAUCCAAAAAUCGCCUGAAUGGCUCCAUUCCCAGAGAGAUCUUCAAACUGUCUUCGCUUUCUAUACAACUAGACCUGUCAGACAACUCCCUUUCUGGACCCUUGCCAUCAGAGGUUGGUAGCUUGACUAACCUUAAUUGGUUGGUACUAUCAGGAAAUCAGUUAAGCGGUAAGAUACCUGAAAGUAUCUCGAGCUGCACGGUCCUGCAAUACCUGUUAUUGCAUAAUAACUCAUUUGAAGGAAGCAUACCAACAAAUCUGAAGAAUAUAAAGGGGCUCACCACGAUAAGCUUGUCAAUGAACAAGUUGUCCGGUACGAUUCCCGAUACCUUCGCUGGAAUUGCCACUUUGAAAGAGUUGUAUCUGGCACAGAACAACUUGUCUGGGCCAAUCCCAGCUGUUCUACAAAAUCUGACGUUGCUGUCGGUGCUAGAUUUGUCGUUCAAUAAUCUGGAAGGUGAAGUGCCAAGUGGGGCGUCUUUAGAAACCUAA
rnacentral:rRNA from 1 species